rnacentral:tRNA from 1 species
GGGGAUGUAGCUCAGUGGUAGAGCGCUGGCUUAGCAUAUGUGAGGCCUGGGUUCAAUUCCCAGCAUUGCCA